UACGAAGGGGCUAGCGUUGCUCGGAAUCACUGGGCGUAAAGCGCACGUAGGCGGAUUGCUAAGUCAGGGGUGAAAUCCUGGAGCUCAACUCCAGAACUGCCCUUGAUACUGGCGGUCUCGAGUCCGGGAGAGGUGAGUGGAACUGCGAGUGUAGAGGUGAAAUUCGUAGAUAUUCGCAAGAACACCAGUGGCGAAGGCGGCUCACUGGCCCGGUACUGACGCUGAGGUGCGAAAGCGUGGGGAGCAAACAGG
rnacentral:rRNA from 1 species